AUUAUUCGACUAUUGGGGCUACCUUGAUCCAGCCAUGCCGCGAGUGUGAAGAUGGCCUUUUGGUAGUAAAGCACCUUAAGCAAGGUGGAGGCUACUCUAGUUAAUACUUAGGGACCGUGGACGUUACUCGCAGAAUAAGUAUCGUUUAACUCUUUGCCAGCAGCCGCGGUAAUACAGAGGGUGCAAGCGUUAAUCGGAUUUACUGGGCGGAAAGCGCGCGUAGGUGGCCAAUUAAGUCAAAUGUGAAAUCCCCGAGCUUAACUUGGGAAUUGCAUUCGAUACUGGUUGGCUAGGGUAUGGGGGAGAAUGGUAGAAUUCCAGGUGUAGCGGUGAAAUGCGUAGAGAUCUGGAGGAAUACCGAUGGCGAAGGCAGCCAUCUGGCCUAAUACUGACACUGAGGUGCGAAAGCAUGGGGAGCAAAC
rnacentral:rRNA from 1 species